rnacentral:lncRNA from 1 species
AACAAUAAUGACAGCAAUGCAAGUUCUAGGACUUACAAUUUGUAAUAGCACUUUCCCUUGUUACAACAUCAACUUUGGUUUGCUGUCAGUCACCAGGCUUGGACUCCGAAGAAUCCAGCGUUCGUGUAAGAUGUCUGAUUUGAUUCAGACGUGAUCUUCGAGAACGUUUGGGUGUUUCAGGGGAUCUUGCUUCUGCACUUGUCAAAUAAUCACAGAGAAAAAGUUAAUCUUUAAGUAAACAGAUACACUUUGAAAGCCAACAAUAUAUUCUUUCUUCAUUUCACAUUUCAUGGUGGACCGUAUAAAACUCACCCUCAGACUUUUAGAACAUCUUGUUUUUCCCAUUGGUCGAUAUAUCCAACAUGCUUGCACCAUCAGAUCGGACGCUGGAUCCUGAAACAGGAACCAGUGCUAGACCAUCAUUCCCACCGUUAUCAUCAUAUCAGGUUGCACUGCUCAUUUUUUCAUUUUUGAGAAAAUUUAGCAUGUUCUACCCUCCGUCUUCGCAGUUGAUAAUUUCUACGACGUCUAGCUAGAUGUCUUCCUCUCUCUUUGGGCUAUCUCUAUCGCGUCUUCGGCGGCUCUCCCUAUCUUGCUCUUUCCCUUUUUCACGCAACCCUAAACCUGGUAACUCACUUGUUACCAUUUGGCCAGAUUCUUAACAUCCUAUGACACAGCUAAUUUCCGUUACUUCUAGCUCAAUGACCAGCGAACGUUAGAUGAUUGAAAUUUUGCCCUCAACUACCAAACUGAGGAGUCAAAUCAAUAUCAGCAUUUAAAACCAGCGUAGAUGUAUUACUGCAUAACAAUUAACCAUAAUUGGCAUUGUUUAAAAAAUAAAAAGAGGGCAAAUGAGAAACACCUCAAGACGGCAGUUUUUGGAGGCUCAUGCCUCACUUGAGGGAGGCACAAACCUCAAGGCUUGUGAGGUGUGCACUUCUUAAGCCCCCGUUUGGCCCCAUUUUUUGAAAUGAAAAUCGGUAAAAUGGUAUUUUUUUGAAAAAUGAAUG